UUAAUCAAGGAUCUAAAGUGGUAAUAAUUCAUUUCAGCUGCUAACGCAAACAAGCAAGGCUAUUUGUUACAAUAUUUCAAAAUUUUUAUUUUCAUUAUCGUUCAAGCAUCUUUAAAUAUAGAAUUUUUCUAUUUUUCUUAAAAUUAUUAGCAAUGUGAUAUAUGUGCAUGACGAUCAGUUGAAUAAUAGAAUAAUAAACACCUGAGUACUCUUUAAAUGCCGUAUAAAUACCUUUUAAAAAAUUGCAAACGGUAUUACACACGUCCUAAUCAUCUUGAAGUAUCAUGCACAUUUGGUUUAUUUGUACGUAAAGACUAAUAAUUUUUUAAAAAAAUUGAGUUGAAUGUAACAUAAGAUAAGUUGUGUUCCAAUGCUGAUCAGUGUCCAAUGAAAUUAUUUUACUUUUUGCGUCAUGUGUUUUAUAAAUUUUUAUAAAUUCUUGGUAUCUAUACGCAGAAGAUCUAAUAUAUAGGAUGCAGUUUUUUAUAUUUUGAAAUUUGUCUUCAAAAAUUUAUAAUCCAUUUUUAUAAUUAAAUUUAUAAUAUUACAAACACAUCUAAAGUGAAAUAAAUCGUUACCUACAGAAGUUUUUAAUUGACGAUUAAAUAGUUCGAUAGCAGUGGUGUUAUUGGUCACAUUAUCAAAAGAAAUGUUGAAAAUAUUAUUUUGAAUACUGUAUUCUUAUAAAACACUCAUAAUAGAUAUAAAAAUUGCUUGGAAAGUAUGUGAGAACCCAAUAGUGCGAAAACUAAUAAUUCUUUUUCAUAAAUUCCAAUGGGAAUCAAUGUAAUGUGAAGCCAGAAGUUAUAUCUACCUUGUCACAUAUCAGAAGUGCAUAAGUCAGUAAAUUUUUGUGCACGUAAUUCAAUAAUUAAUUUAUUUUUUAUUUUUAAAAAAGUUUAAGCAGUCACUUAUAAUAGUAGUCUUGGAGAUUGACCGGAAUUAAAGAUUGAUAUAGUUAUGUUGAAAAUACUUAAAAUCUCGAAUCAACUUUGAAUGUAAAAAAAUAUUUCGCAACGGUUGUGUAAAUUGCAAGAGCUUCUCUCAUUUUAACAUUGAAAUAAGAGAAAUUACCCAUCCACACCCUCAGAAAAGUUUAUUUAUGAUUAUGAUGUAUCUACAUUGAUAACAUUUUUAGCAACACACUUAUUAGCGUACGUCUUUAGAUGGCUCAUGCCAUUGGCAAAGCCAACAAAUAUUUUAUUGUAUGUACAAAUAGCUUUACUCAUUUUUUUUUUAUUUUCAGUGACCUUAACUCGUCGAAAAUAUUGUCAAACUAUCAAUCUUAAUCUCCUAGGUGCCCUAGAUAUGGGCAUGUCCGGCAUGCAAGUAGAGGGGCCGAUCGAAUUAUUGGAGAUCAUUUUGGGUACAUUAUCAUCAAUCGAUAUCUCAAACUCAUCUUAUUCAGUCUCUUCCACACUUUUUACAUUUGUAAUUACGAGGAUUCUUUUUUGUGAAAAAUAAAAUUUGGAUACUAAAAUACUAACGAUACAAUAAAAUAUAUAUCGAUACUAACAUACCUCAAGUAUGAAGCACUUAAAAUGUCGGGAUUCAACACUUCUUCAACACUUGAGAAAUUUCGAGCAAUCGAAUAAUUGCUAUUUUCUUCAUCACUUUCAAAAAAUUGAAUAUUCUUUAGAUUUGUAGAAUAUUUAGAGAAUAGUAGAGAAUUGGUAAAUUGAGUGAGAAAGAAGUAUGGAGAAUUAGAUGUAUUUAUAAAAUAUUUUGUGGUCUUAGUUGACUAAAACACUUCCAAAAAUAGUCGUUUAUAGUUGUUGUGAAGGGGUAUUUUGGUCAUUUAUAGCCAAAUUAUUAUUUUACCUCCUAAAAGUAACCGUUAUAUAAUUGUUGGGAGGUAAAAUUGUCCCAAAAAUAAAGAAAGUACAAAAAGAGUCGUUCGUACUGAGGAAGAGUAAUCCGUUGAAGUGGCAGUAUGUGUUUAUUAUUAAAAUCUAAUAUUUUCAUAAACGAAUGAGUAUUUGGUCUAGUGGUAUGGUUCUAGGUGCUGGCGUGAGGUCGUGAGUUUGAAUUUCGGUCACUCAAAAAUUCCCGAGUUUGAAUUUGACUGAACAGGUUGGGCUGGUUAAUGGGCCGGAUAAUCUGAACAAACAGGCCAAAUUGAACAGGCUAUGAAGGCGGGCUAGGACAAACCGAAUUGGCUUGUGACUACUAUUGGACAGGACUGGAUGACAGACUGAUCUUCGCAGAGGCUACCCAACCGUGACUGCUUAGAAUGGACUUCAAUCCGGAUCCAAAUCCAAACAAUCCAACUUGUCUGAACCACUACAAUAAUGGAUCAGACAACGGGAAGACUCGCAACCCCAGCCCAAUUUUGUAGCUCUACUCAAAGUCGUUACUUAUGCUUCUUUUGUAUUAAAGUAAUCCCACUUAGCCAAUCACUGGAUCAAUCAAUCAAGUACUUACUCCAAUAGUUAAGAGUUUGGAUUUUAUCGGGAAUAAUAAUUAGUACACACUCAAAAGUGAGUGUGUACAAGACACA
rnacentral:lncRNA from 1 species